UCUUACCGGGACCGACAGCAACAGUGAAGGCCAGGCUGAAGACUUUGCCGGAUUAGCUGAGAGGUGGUGCAUGGCCGUCGUCAGUUCGUACUGUGAAGCAUCCUGUUAAGUCAGGCAACGAGCGAGACCCACGCCCACAGUUGCCAGCGUACUCUCUGGAGUGACGGGUACACGUGUGGGGACCGCCGCUGCUAAAGCGGAGGAAGGAAUGGGCAACGGUAGGUCAGUAUGCCCCGAAUAUCCCGGGCUACACGCGAGCUACAAUGGUUGGUACAAUGGGUAUCUACCCCGAAAGGGGACGGGAAUCUCCUAAAACCAAUCUUAGUUCGGAUUGAGGGCUGCAACUCGCCCUCAUGAAGCUGGAAUCCGUAGUAAUCGCGUUUCAACAGAACGCGGUGAAUACGUCCCUGCUCCUU
rnacentral:rRNA from 1 species